AGUAGUCACGAGUUUGAUCAUGGCUCAGAAUGAACGUUGGCGGCGUGGAUUAGGCAUGCAAGUCGCGCGACAAGGAACCUUCGGGUUCUGGAGGAGCGGCAAACGGGGUAUAAGGCAUCGGAACGUACCCUCUUGUUGGGAAUAGCCGCGGGAAACCUGCGAGUAAUGCCCCAAUAAUCCCUACGGGGCAAAGGUCCGCCGCAGGAGGAGCGGCCGAUGUGAUACCAGCUAGUUGGUGAGGUAAUGGCUCACCAAGGCUUAGACGUCUAGGGGGUGUGAGAGCAUGGCCCCCACCACUGGGACUGAGAUACUGCCCAGACACCUACGGGUGGCUCGCAGUCGAGAAUCUUCGGCAAUGGGCGCAAGCCUGACCCGAGCAACGCCGCGUGCGGGAUGAAGGCCCUUGGGUUGUAAACCGCUGUCAGGGGGGAUGAAAGCGCAAGCUUGACAGAGCCCCAGAGGAAGCACGGGCUAAGUUCGUG
rnacentral:rRNA from 1 species